rnacentral:misc_RNA from 1 species
AACUAACGCAAUCAAAGUAACAGUUUCUGUACUUUAUUGGUAUGAGAAACUUCCAGAACUUUAUUAGUUCUAGGAAAAUUUNGGAACAAAAGCCUUCGGGC